rnacentral:misc_RNA from 1 species
GUUGUUAACCUCUUUGAUUCACCUACCAAAAUUUGUUUAGCCAUUUGAUCGGCCUCCUCGUAAGAUAAAUUCAUUAUAUUCAAAGCUUACUGCAAUAAAUCAUUUAAUACAAUAAAAAAAGCCUUCAUCUACCUUUAUGAAGAGAAUCACAAUCCCCUAACAAAGAAACAAUAUCACUAGAUAGCUAAAGUGAAUUUUAACUCUUAUUUUUAUUUUUGUUCUUAUUUAAAUUUUUAUUAUUUU